CCUUUGGAGUGUUAUACAAACCAUAGUAGCAUAUGCAAGGUGGGACACGAUGAAAAAGGAA
ncrna:unclassified sequences RAGATH-18 RNA